rnacentral:lncRNA from 1 species
UCCGUAAACUGAUCAGAGUUCAAUCAUUCCAUUGAUGAUGAUUAAUUAACAAGUGCAUCAAUUCAGACACAAAGCUGUAUAUAUGUAUAGUAAUCGAAUGAAUUGCAGCCAAUCACGAAACAUCCGAUCGAGGGCGUGUAAUUUGGUACAUGGUCAACAGAGUACAUAUGUGUUGCAGGUCUUCCGUCUUGGAUUCGACGGCAGUUCGGCUUCGGCGACAGGAGCGGCGACAUCAGGAGCGACAUUAGUAGCAAAGCAGAUUCCUCAGAGCGACGAUGGAGAGAGAGAACGGACAUCAACGAGUCUCUCCAAAGAUCGACUACUCUUCAUCCUGUUCCGGUAGAGAUGGAUCUGCAACACAUGAGACGUACUACUCCUUUUUUUUUUGCGGAGGUCGCAGUUCCUCCAACGUCUUUGCCCGGACUCCCCC